GACAAUUAGGGACAGGAGGAUACAGAGGACUGGGGGGUCACAGGAGGACAAUUAGGAACAGGAGGAUAUGGAGGACUGUGGGGCACAGGUGGAAAAUUGGGGACAGGAGGACUGGGAGGAGGUGGAGAAUAUUCUGCUGCUGCCAAAGCUGAUGAUAUGGAAACAGAAUUGUUGCCUUAUUGAUGGUUUAGAGAAGAUAAUGAUGGU